GUGUUUAUGUGGUUCCAAGAAGAAGAUGCAAGUUUUGGCUUGCUACCAAGGUUUUUCAUUGUGUUUACUAGGAAGAUUGUGCGGGCAUCCAAGAAAAACCACAAGUCCAUUUCUAACUGUAACCACAAAGAUACUUCAAUGAUGUGUGGGUUUGUGCAACUGUGUGGUGGUGACCUAGAAUAAAGCUCAGGAUAUGAAAACAUCUGCCUGGUUUCUGCCGGACUGCCUGUAGUGGGUCAGACCAAAGUACAGCCAGCGUUAAGUCAUUAGCUGGUGAGGGUUCAGAAGCCAACCACUCAGAUGGCUUCAGCUGGCUGUUUUUAUGCCCGGUUACUCGUUAACAAAGAUUUCUGGGAUCGUACACUCCCAAUUAUUGUGCAUGAACUUAAACUGACGUUUUCUGGUGUCUGAACUGCAUGACACUUGCACUUGGAAAGAGGAGACAUCAUAGCGUCACGUCAAUACAUACCCAACCAACUAGCUACUACCACUUACGUUGGGGCGGGAAUAUUUGAAUUUCCGUGUCAGUAAGCUAGAGAGAUCCCUAGAUCCGUAGACACCUCCGUAGAGAUCCACUCACUGCCUGUCCGCAACAUUAGCUGUGAUUUCAACGAGAAGACUUCAACAAGACUUUCAGCAAAGUUGACAUCGAAGUACUUCAAAAGAACCAUGGUCUAGGAACAAUUUACACAGUAGGUCUUAUGUUAGUGUGGUGGUUGCACAUUUCAAUUAUUUACUAGCUAGCUAACGUUAGUCAGCUGAAAUAAGUGCCAGAGAUGAAUAAACAUAUUUUAGCUAGCUAGCUACUUUGUGUUAAGCAAGAGUUUAGGGGUUAGUUGUUGCAAGGUGCUUGAAUGCCUUACAAAAUAAGCUGUUUAUCAAGGUAAUAAGACUUACGAGCACACUGUGUCCUAUUGCAGGGAAGUGAUGUUUUUUGUUUUUGUGAAUGUAGGGAAAAACUUGUGAUCGAUAUUGAAGCAUAGAGGUGUUUUAUGGAGAAUAAAUGAACAAUUAUUCUACUCAAUAUCCCUACACCCCAGUCUCCUCUGCUACCUCCCAGGGAGGAGGAAUACCCUAAACUCCUCGUUCUCACAGGACUCGGGCUAGUACGCUGUUGCCAGACAUGUUGGAUACAACACUGGGUCGUUGACCAGCAGUGGUUACCCUCCCCAGGACAUGUUGCCCUCCUGCUCCUCCUCUGCUGUCUCUUCCUCAGCCGGGGCAUGCAAGCUCCCUGUUACCCAGAGGACCCCCAUGCACCUCCUCAAAACAGCUAUCACAUGGGUCGCCCACGUACCCCCCUACUGCCGCCUUAUAUCCUAAUGAGCCCCAGGUCUACCCCACAUAUGCGAUGCCACCCCCUUCACUCCAGGACGAGCAGCCCCCUCUGGCAGACAAAAUGAACUAUUUGUAGAACAUUGCAUAGGAAUCAAAAUCCUAUUUUUGUAACUUACUCUGGUUAUCGACCAAUGAUUUCCAUUUGCAUAGUUAUUUGUUCAAUUCUAGAGUUCACUUGCAGCAUUUGAAUACAUUUCUUCAGUUCCUGCUCUGAUUCAUCAGUCACACACUGUGUCAUGUUUCUUUUGUCUUACAGUGCCUUGCAAAAGUAUUCAUACCCCUUGGAUUUCUUCACAUUGUAUUGUUACAAAGUGGGAUUAAAAUGGAUCACAAUUUAAUGAACAAUCUACACAAAAUACUCGGUAAUGUCAAAGUAGAAGAAAAAAUGUACCAUUUUAAAGAUUGAUAUAACUACAACGACUAGAUUUGAGUUAUUUGAUUAGUAUUCAGCUCCCUGAGUCACAACAUGUUUGGCAGAAGGUUACUGCUGUGAUUCUUCUUGGGUAAGUGUCUAAGAGCGGUAUACAUAUUACCCAUUAUAUUAGCCCAUUAUUCUUUUGUAAUUCUUCAACCUCUGUAAAGAGGAUGGGAUCAUGGCUAGACAGCUAUUUUCAAGUCUUUCCAAAUGUUUUCAAGCAGAUUUAGGUCUCAACUGUAAUUUGGCCACACAGGAACAUUUCCUGUCUUCUUGGUAAGCAACUCCGGUGUAGAUUUGGUCUUAAGGUGUAUGUUAUUGUCAUACUGAAAGGUGAAUUCCUCUCCCAGUGUCUGGUGUAAAGCAGACUGAAGCAGGUUUUCCUCUAGGAUUUUGAAUGUGCUUAGCUCCAUCUCGUUUCCCGAAGUCAAGCUUACCCAUACCAUGAUGCAGGCACCACCAUGCUUGGA